UCAUUCAUAGAUCUACAAUAUAUCAUAAAAUCAAGCCCAAAUUGAAAAUUUUGGCAUGAUCUUUUCUUAUUUUGCAAAUUGUGAGCUAUUUUUUUAGCCCAAAAAAUAGAGAAAAUGAAAUAGGGGAGAAAAGGCACACCUUAUUUAGGCUUGGAUCUUCCUUCAAUCGCACUGAAUCGAUCUGAUUUUGCAAAUUGGAAAAAAAGGAGAGUCGUUUAAGCCUUAAGACUCUAAACAAAAUAGAGAAGAAGGUAUUAGAAAGGCCUUUUAACAAAAGAAGGAAAGGGGAGGGGGCUCGGUUCCCAACCAGGUCGACUGGGUGCAAACCGGAUGGUUCCCACCGAGUUCAAAUGGAACCGGCCAGUUCGGUCCGGUUCAGGCCUUUUUCGGUCAGUUCGGAACCCAUUCCGACCGGUUCAGGGCCGGAACCGAAUUUAAUGGACGAACCGACCCAGUGCCCCACCGGGUCAACUCAGUACAGGCCAACUCGAGCGGUUCUGUGCAGUUCGGCCUACCUUGCUUCAGCCUUAGUCCAAAGGUCCCUCCUUAUUCUUGUGGCACGUGCUACAAAUGAAA
rnacentral:lncRNA from 1 species